rnacentral:rRNA from 1 species
UACGUAGGGUGCGAGCGUUAAUCGGAAUUACUGGGCGUAAAGCGUGCGCAGGCGGUUCGUUGUGUCGGCGGUGAAAGCCCCGAGCUUAACUUGGGAAUUGCGCUUGUGACUGGCGUGCUGGAGUGUGGCAGAGGGAGGUGGAAUUCCACGUGUAGCAGUGAAAUGCGUAGAGAUGUGGAGGAACACCGAUGGCGAAGGCAGCCUCCUGGGCCAGCACUGACGCUCAUGCACGAAAGCGUGGGGAGCAAACAGG